rnacentral:rRNA from 1 species
UACGAAGGGGGCUAGCGUUGUUCGGAAUCACUGGGCGUAAAGCGCACGUAGGCGGACUUUUAAGUCAGGGGUGAAAGCCUGAGGCUCAACCUCAGAACUGCCCUUGAUACUGGGAGUCUUGAGUAUGGUAGAGGUUGGUGGAACAGCAAGUGUAGAGGUGAAAUUCGUAGAUAUUUGCUAGAACACCAGUGGCGAAGGCGGCCAACUGGACCAUAACUGACGCUGAGGUGCGAAAGCGUGGGAGCAAACAGG